rnacentral:ncRNA from 1 species
GCAGAUGGUGCCCUUCGGGGUUAAAAGGGAACACGGUGCGGAAUAUAUUCUGUAAAUUUCCCAAGCCGUGGCUGUGCCCGCAACUGUAAUUGGCGAGCUUCUUUUCUUUAAAUGUCACUGGACCCUGUCCGGGAAGGCGAAACAGAAGCAAUAACCCAAGAGCCAGGAAACCUGCCAUCUG